rnacentral:rRNA from 1 species
GAUGAACGCUAGCGGCAGGCCUAACACAUGCAAGUCGAGGGGCAGCACGUCUUCGGAUGGUGGCGACCGGCGCACGGGUGCGUAACGCGUAUGCAACCUACCUCUUACAGUGGGAUAGCCCAGAGAAAUUUGGAUUAAUACCGCAUAGUAUACAGAUUCAGCAUUGGGACUGUAUUAAACAUUUANGGGUAANAGAUGGGCAUGCGUUCUAUUAGUUAGUUGGAGUGGUAACGGCACCCCAAGACAGCGAUAGAUAGGGCCCUGAGAGGGGGAUCCCCCANACUGGUACUGAGACACGGACCAGACUCCUACGGGAGGCAGCAGUGAGGAAUAUUGGACAAUGGGC